AUUGAACGCUGGCGGCAUGCCUUACACAUGCAAGUCGAACGGCAGCGCGGGAGCAAUCCUGGCGGCGAGUGGCGAACGGGUGAGUAAUAUAUCGGAACGUGCCCGGUAGUGGGGGAUAGCCCGGCGAAAGCCGGAUUAAUACCGCAUACGACCUACGGGUGCAAGGGGGGGAUCGCAAGACCUCUCGCUAUUGGAGCGGCCGAUAUCAGAUUAGGUAGUUGGUGGGGUAAAGGCCUACCAAGCCUGCGAUCUGUAGUUGGUCUGAGAGGACGACCAGCCACACUGGGACUGAGACACGGCCCAGACUCCUACGGGAGGCAGCAGUGGGGAAUUUUGGACAAUGGGCGCAAGACUGAUCCAGCAAUGCCGCGUGCAGGAAGAAGGCCUUCGGGUUGUAAACUGCUUUUGUCAGGGAAGAAAUCCUCUAGGCUAAUACCUUGGGGGGAUGACGGUACCUGAAGAAUAAGCACCGGCUAACUACGUGCCAGCCGCCGCGGUAAAAC
rnacentral:rRNA from 1 species